rnacentral:rRNA from 1 species
AAAGCCUCUAAGCAUCAGGUAACAUCAAAUCGUACCCCAAACCGACACAGGUGGUCAGGUAGAGAAUACCAAGGCGCUUGAGAGAACUCGGGUGAAGGAACUAGGCAAAUGGUGCCGUAACUUCGGGAGAAGGCACGCUGGUGUGUAGGUGAAGCCCUGCGGGUGGAGCUGAGACCAGUCGAAGAUACCAGCUGGCUGCAACUGUUUAUUAAAAACACAGCACUGUGCAAACACGAAAGUGGACGUAUACGGUGUGACGCCUGCCCGUGCCGGAAGGUUAAUUGAUGGGGUUAUCC